rnacentral:lncRNA from 1 species
CUCAAACGAAUGUUACACGCCAAUUCACAACCAAAAAUCCAGCCACGCAAAAUCUGGAAUUUACUGAACAAUGAUCUUGCCGACCAUGCCAGCACCCUGGUGCGGCUCGCAGUAGUAGCCGUACUCGCCCGGGGUAGUCAGCUUCACGCUGUACGUCUCGCCAGGGGCGUUCAGGAGGUCAUCGCGAGAGAUGGCAUCCACGUUCACGCCAGCCUAGGAAAAAUUCGUAGGGUGCAAAGGGCCGUGUCAGCAUGCAAGCGAAAAAAGCCAAAAUGCAGGCAAAUCCCAAAGCUGAGGUAUAUUACUUACUGGGACGGCGUCCUCAUCGAAGACAACGUUGUGCGGGAAGCCAGCGUUGUUGACGAAGUCGACGGUGUCACCAGACUUAAUCGUGACGGUGGAUGGCUCGAACACCAGGGCACCAGAGUCAGCACCCAGCUUCACGGUGGCAGCGUGGGCCGACAGAGUCACAGCCAGCGAAGCGACCGAGACACCAGCAACGGAGGCCACGCGGCUAACAGCGGCCUUCAGCGAGGCAACCGGGCGAACGGCGCCGGCGCGGGAGGCGGGAGCACGCAGAGUAGCCUUCAUUUUUGAUGAUUUCGAUGAUACGCUGUCACCAGGUAUGAUUUCUGAAGUUUCACAUGGCAGUUUAUGGAGACGCAAGCGGUACGACGGAUGAGGAGAUUUCACAAGGCCCUGCAAACCACGACCUCAAACAUCGGCUGCGUGCAUUUUCCCUUGGAUGGCAUUUGUAAUUGUAUUCUACAAAGGGUCUUACCAAUCUUCUGUAACAUGUUGUCCAUUAUUUGUUCUUGUGCUGACUCAGGACUUGACGCCUUUCUCUACAAUGGCUUAAACAUCAAUACGUGCUUCUGUGGAC